rnacentral:lncRNA from 1 species
AACAGCAGCAGGAGCAGUAGCAGUGGUGGUGGUGGUGGUGGUAAUAGUGUAGCAGCAGCAGCAGUACUAUUUAUACUAAUAGUAGCCAUAACAGUAACAGCACUGGCAACAGCAGUAGCAGCAGUAGUAAGGAGUAUGGAAGGACGCUAUAACACUACCAUUAUCCCUUCCACAUUGCAACUUUCCCCAUAGCGGUGAUGUGUCAUCAGCAGGCGAGAGAAAUUAAAGGGGGAUUUGAGGAGAGUUUUUCAGAAGCCAAAGAUAACAUAAGAAGACUAGCAGAUGACACAGAGCCUAUGACCAAAUACUUAGCCCAGAUUUUACAGGAGGUUCCUAUAAACACCUCAUGAGAGAAAAAGAAAAAAAUCAGACUUCUUCUUUAGUAUGAAGAUAGGGUCAAAAAAUCUUGUGUAGAUUUUCCAGAUCAGAGAGGCUCUGCUCCCCAACCCCUGUGAUGUGGAAGAGGAUAACUGUAAUUAGCACCAGAACCAGAAUUCCAGAGGACUGAUGGUGACUAAUACUUCCUGCCUAUCAACAGAGAAGUGAUGGACUUUUGGUAUAGAACGAGACAUACACUGUCACAUGUGGCCCUGUGUAAGUUGCUUGGUUUUGCUCUAUUUCUUGGUUACAUUUGUUACAUAUCUUUGUUUCUUUGUACCUAUGGGAGAGAGGGUAGGCAAGUCAUUGUGAAGUUUCAACAGUGUUAAAAAGCCCGAGUCCUCCCUACAGAGGUUUCAUGAGACAAAGAAACCGAGAGGGUCUUCACAAACAACAGAACCCCAGUGCAAAACAUUUCAAAAGAAAAGAAUUCUUGCUAAGUGCAAAAAAUACUGUAUCAAGAAUACUGUCCUGCCAUUGUUUGUCUCUAAACUUUGCUGCUGCUGAAAUCCCAAGGACAAAGGGACAGGAAACAGGAUUGUUCUGGAACAGUCUGGAUGUUAUUCUACCGAGCAUGUUGAUAAAACACAGCUCCUGCACUCUGAGCCAAGGUGGAAGGGAUAGUGUACAUGUGAGAAUGGGCUCAGAUUGGAACCUGGUCUUUUGUUUUGUUCAUCAGCACGGGCCAGCAGCUAUUGACUACAAAAGUUGUAACUCAUUUAUGGGGAAACCACAGAAUUGGCAAAGGAUCUAAGCACAAGGCUUACCUUCUCUCCCGGGCAGGCCCUUGGAGCUGCCAAAUAUGUGAAGGUGGAGAUCAUACAGCCCCAGCCCUGCCCUCAUCUUGACAAUUCCCAUAUGGUUCUUC